rnacentral:rRNA from 1 species
UAUUGAAGAGUUUGAUCCUGGCUCAGAUUGAACGCUGGCGGCAUGGUUAAAACAUGCAAGUCGAACGCGUGUAGCAAUACACGAGUGGCGAAAGGGCGAGGAAUAGAUUCCUACGUACCCCGGAGUCAGGGAUAACCAUCGGAAACGGUGGCUAACACCUGAUGAUCUCGAAAG